rnacentral:rRNA from 1 species
UACGGAGGGUGCAAGCGUUAUCCGGAAUCAUUGGGUUUAAAGGGUCCGCAGGCGGUCAAUUAAGUCAGAGGUGAAAUCCUACAGCUUAACUGUAGAACUGCCUUUGAUACUGGUUGACUUGAGUCAUAUGGAAGUAGAUAGAAUGUGUAGUGUAGCGGUGAAAUGCAUAGAUAUUACACAGAAUACCGAUUGCGAAGGCAGUCUACUACGUAUGUACUGACGCUCAUGGACGAAAGCGUGGGGAGCGAACAGG